rnacentral:rRNA from 1 species
AUUGAACGCUGGCGGCAGGCCUAACACAUGCAAGUCGAACGGUAACAGGAAGAAGCUUGCUUCUUUGCGGACGAGUGGCGGACGGGUGAGAAAUGUCUGGGAAACUGCCUGAUGGAGGGGGAUAACUACUGGAAACGGUAGCUAAUACCGCAUAACGUCGCAAGCCCAAAGAGGAGGACCUACGGGCCUCCUGCCAGCGGCUGUGCCCCGGUGGGAUUAGCUAGUAGGUGGGGGAACCGCUAACCUAGUCGACGAUCCCUUGCUCGUCUGAGAGGGUGGCCCGCCACACUGGAACUGAGACACGGUCCAGACUCCUACGGGAGGCCGCAGUGGGGAAUAUUGCCCCAUGGGGGCAAGCCUUAUGCAGGCAUGGCGCCUGUAUGAAUAAAGCCUUCGGGUUGUUAAGUCUUUGCAGCUGGGAGGAAGGGAGUAAAGUUAAUACCUUUGCUCAUUGGCGUUACCCGAAGCAGAAGCACCCGCUAACUCCCUG